CCUACGGGGGGCUGCAGUGAGGAAUAUUGGUCAAUGGACGAGAGUCUGAACCAGCCAAGUAGCGUGAAGGAUGACUGCCCUAUGGGUUGUAAACUUCUUUUAUAAAGGAAUAAAACGAGGCACGUGUGCCUUUUUGCAUGUACUUUAUGAAUAAGGAUCGGCUAACUCCGUGCCAGCAGCCGCGGUAAUACGGAGGAUCCGAGCGUUAUCCGGAUUUAUUGGGUUUAAAGGGAGCGUAGAUGGGUUGUUAAGUCAGUUGUGAAAGUUUGCGGCUCAACCGUAAAAUUGCAAUUGAUACUGGCAGUCGUGAGGACAGUUGAGGUAGGCGGAAUUCGUGGUGUAGCGGUGAAAUGCUUAGAUAUCACGAAGAACCCCGAUUGCGAAGGCAGCUUACUAAACUGUGACUGACAUUGAUGCUCGAAAGUGUGGGUAUCAAACAGGAUUAGAUACCCCUGUAGUC
rnacentral:rRNA from 1 species